rnacentral:rRNA from 1 species
UGGGGAAUUUUGGACAAUGGGCGAAAGCCUGAUCCAGCAAUGCCGCGUGUGUGAAGAAGGCCUUCGGGUUGUAAAGCACUUUUGUCCGGAAAGAAAUCCUUGGCUCUAAUACAGUCGGGGGAUGACGGUACCGGAAGAAUAAGCACCGGCUAACUACGUGCCAGCAGCCGCGGUAAUACGUAGGGUGCAAGCGUUAAUCGGAAUUACUGGGCGUAAAGCGUGCGCAGGCGGUUUGCUAAGACCGAUGUGAAAUCCCCGGGCUCAACCUGGGAACUGCAUUGGUGACUGGCAGGCUAGAGUAUGGCAGAGGGGGGUAGAAUUCCACGUGUAGCAGUGAAAUGCGUAGAGAUGUGGAGGAAUACCGAUGGCGAAGGCAGCCCCCUGGGCCAAUACUGACGCUCAUGCACGAAAGCGUGGGGAGCAAACAGGAUUAGAUACCCUGGUAGUCCACGCCCUAAACGAUGUCAACUAGUUGUUGGGGAUUCAUUUCCUUAGUAACGUAGCUAACGCGUGAAGUUGACCGCCUGGGGAGUACGGUCGCAAGAUUAAAACUCAAAGGAAUUAACGGGGUCAUAGCUG